GGUAUGGGAUGAGCUUGCGUCCGAUUAGCUAGUUGGCGGGGCAACGGCCCACCAAGGCGACGAUCGGUAGCCGGCCUGAGAGGGUGAUCGGCCACAUUGGGACUGAGAUACGGCCCAGACUCCUACGGGAGGCAGCAGUAGGGAAUAUUGCACAAUGGGGGAAACCCUGAUGCAGCGACGCCACGUGUGGGAAGAAGCAUUUCGGUGUGUAAACCACUGUCAUGAGGGAAUAAGGCCCGCCUUCGGACGGGAUUGAAUGUACCUUGAGAGGAAGCACCGGCAAACUUCGUGCCAGCAGCCGCGGUAAUACGAGGGGUGCAAGCGUUGUUCGGAAUUACUGGGCGUAAAGGGAGCGUAGGCGGAGAUUCAAGCGGAUUGUACAAUCCCGGGGCCCAACCCCGGCUCUGUAGUCCGAACUGGAUCUCUUGGAUAGUUCAGGGGCAGGC
rnacentral:rRNA from 1 species